GGGGGAUAUUGCACAAUGGAGGAAACUCUGAUGCAGCAACGCCGCGUGAGGGAAGAAGGUCUUCGGAUUGUAAACCUUUGUCCUUGGUGACGAUAAUGACGGUAGCCAAGGAGGAAGCUCCGGCUAACUACGUGCCAGCAGCCGCGGUAAUACGUAGGGAGCAAGCGUUGUCCGGAUUUACUGGGUGUAAAGGGUGCGUAGGCGGCUCUGCAAGUCAGGCGUGAAAACUAUGGGCUUAACCCAUAGACUGCGUUUGAAACUGUGGGGCUUGAGUGAAGUAGAGGUAGGCGGAAUUCCCGGUGUAGCGGUGAAAUGCGUAGAGAUCGGGAGGAACACCAGUGGCGAAGGCGGCUUACUGGGCUUUAACUGACGCUGAGGCACGAAAGCAUGGGUAGCAAAC
rnacentral:rRNA from 1 species